rnacentral:lncRNA from 1 species
AAAAUCCCACAAAAACCCCAGGAAAACCCGAAAAGAUCCCAGAAAAAUCCCAGAAAAUCCCAGGAAAACUGGGAAUGAUCCCAAAAAAAAACCCCAAAAGAAUCUCAGGAAAACCCCGGAAAAAUCCCAAAAAAACCCGAAAAAAAUCCCCAGAGAAUCCCAGGAAAAUCCCAAAAAAAUCCCAGGAAAACCUGAAACGAUCCCAAAAAAUUCCCAGAGAAUCCCAGGAAAACUGGGAAUGAUCCCAAAAAAACCCCCGAAAUAAUGUGAGGAAAACCCCGGAAAAUCCCAAAAAAACCCCAAAAAAAUCCCCAGGAAAACCCGAAACGAUCCCAAAAAAUUCCCAGAAAAUCCCAGGAAAAC